UACGUAGGGGGCAAGCGUUGUCCGGAAUCAUUGGGCGUAAAGCGCGUGUAGGCGGCUUAGUAAGUCUGCUCUGAAAGCCCGGGGCUCAACCCUGGGAGGCGGGUGGAUACUGCUGAGCUUGAGUCCGGAAGAGGCGAGUGGAAUUCCUGGUGUAGCGGUGAAAUGCGCAGAUAUCAGGAGGAACACCAAUGGCGAAGGCAGCUCGCUGGGACGGUACUGACGCUGAGGAGCGAAAGCGUGGGGAGCAAACAGG
rnacentral:rRNA from 1 species